rnacentral:ncRNA from 1 species
CAAAGGUUUGGUCCUGGCCUUUUCAUUAGUUUUUAGUAAAAUUACACAUGCAAAUAUCCAUAUACCAGUGAGUAAUCCCUCUAGAAUCACUUUGAUCAUGAGGUCGAGAUAUAAAGCUCUCAUUAGAAGCUCAAAACAUCUAGCCUAGCCACGCCCCCACGGGAAACAGCAGUGAUAAAAAUUUAGCAAUAAACGAAAGUUUGACUAAGUUAUACUAAUCAGGGUUGGUUAAUUUCGUGCCAGCCACCGCGGUCAUACGAUUAACCCGAACUAAUGAAUCAACGGCGUAAAAUGUGUUUAAGAACAAAAAAAAACAAUAAGAUUAAACCUCAACUAAUAUGUAACAAUUCUUAGUAACAGGUAAAAUAUACUACUAUAGUGAUCUUAAUACCUCUGAAUACACGAAAGCUAGGGCACAACCCGGGAUUAGAUACCCCAUUAUGCCUAGCCGUUAAUAAAGGUAGUCCCCUAACAAGACUACUCGCCAGGAACUACUAGCUACUGCUUAAAACUCAAAGGACUUGGCGGUACUUUAUAUCUCCCUAGAGGAGCCUGUUCUGUAAUCGAUACACCCCGUUCUACCUCACCUUUUCUUGCUAAUCCAGCUUAUAUACCGCCAUCUUCAGCAAACCCCUAUAGGGCUUUAAAGUAAGCAUAAUCAUUUUUCAAUAAAGACGUUAGGUCAAGGUGUAGCUUAUGAAAAGGAAGCAAUGGGCUACAUUUUCUCUUUGAGAAUCCACACGUUAUUCUUUAUGAAACUAAAGAAUUAAAAAAGGAUUUAGUAGUAAAUUAAGAAUAGAGCGCUUAAUUGAACCGAGCAAUGAAGUACGCACACACCGCCCGUCACCCUCCUCAAAUACCUACCAUAAACUUAUUAUAUAAUUCCAACUACUUAAAGUAUGAGAGGAGACAAGUCGUAACAUGGUAAGCAUACUGGAAAGUGUGCUUGGAUUAAU